GACCGCACCAAUCAGCGAGGCGGGAGCUCUAGGCCGGUGCUGAGAAAGUAGGAAGGGGAAGUUGGAGUUGAAGCAGAUGGCUGGACCCCAUCCUUGGAGUUUCUGAUUGGAUAAAUCUGGAGUGAGAUCCGAAAACUGCAUUUCUGACAGGCUCCUAGAUGAUGCUGAUGCUGGUCGUCUUGGGGAUCAUACCUUGAGAACCACUGUAUUAAGGACUUAACAAUGCCCCUGACAUUCCUCUAAGCUUUUUACAUGCGUUGACAUUGAUUUCUCUUAUGAUUACUCCGCAAAGGAGUGAAGUGAAAGUAGGUCAGUCGUGUCAGACUCUUUGCGACCCCAUUGACUAUGCAGUCCAUUGAAUUCUCCAGGCCAGAAUACUGGAGUGGGUAGCCUUUCCCUUCUCCAGCAGAUCUUCCCAACCCAUGAAUCAAACCGGGGUCUCCUGCAUUGCAAGCAGAUUCUUUACUACUGAGUUAUCAGGAAACUGUUUAAAGACCGAAGAGGCAUAACCAAGAUCACCGGCAAAUGGUGGAGAGGCCUCUUGCUCUUCAAUGCCUGUUAUUCCCACUGGCGCUUAAUACUGGACAGUGCACAUAAGGAUUCCAAGAACUAGUUGUGAAGAUGAUUGAUGACGAAUAAGCUCUAGCAUUCCAAGGAAAUGAAAAAAAAAAAAAGAAGAAGAAGAAGAAAGAAAGAAACAUGGAAAUAAUGUACCCAAAACUGAGUGUGAGGUUCUAUGAUUUCAGUUAUAUAGCCAGGAAGAUCAACAUUUAUGACCUAGAAGAGUGCCCUUUAAUCACUAGUCUUAACCCAACAAUAGAUUUUGAAAUGUAUUAGUAUAACCUAAUGAACAUAUUUUCAGUGAAAUGGAAUGGAAUGAAUAGAAGGCAUAGAUGUAUUGUUUUUGAAACUUUUGUUUCAGAUCUAUUUGUGUUCUGGUUCCUGCUGUUAUUUCUUGAAGUGGGUAGUAGUCAGAAAAAGCUUGACAGUUAUUGUAACCUAGAGGAAUUGUGUUCCAUACUCUAUUCAUUUUGACUUCAUGGGACAUAGAUAUGUCCUGUAACCUUAGAAAGGUCCUAUUGGGUCACACUUCCUUGUUCUGUAACACCCACAGUGCCUGAAAUCCUAGCGAGCACCUGAAGAGAUUUAUAAAGAUUAGGUAGAAUGUUUGAGCUCUUCAAAGAAAUGUAUUUGUGAAUAUACUAAUGAAGAACUCAGAGAGAGAGUCAAAU
ensembl:lncRNA